GUGGCCAUGCAUAAAAGAUGACACAUGAUGGCGGGGCUCGGGGUGAGGAUUUGCAAAUUUAGAUACAGUCGCAGCAGGAAUAUGAACUGGGCACUCGACAAGCAUGGGGGUGCCAACACAGUGAAACUCUUGGAUGCAAGGCACAGAGAUAUUGACUAGGAGGAGACAGCUACCACUACUACUGCUGCUUUGAUUUGAAAGGUAUUAUUGGGACAGGAGUAAGUUGGAAGGUCACUGGAACUGUGGGAACAGAGAGUUACAGAUGUCAGAGUAUUCCCAGAAAGGUGGAUUUGGAAUACAGUAGCAGCUGGUUCCAGAACCCCCCUGGCCUCCUGUGCACACACCGAACACCAGGGAACCUGCUCUCCGACCAGCCCCAGCCACCUGAGCCCAAUAACAGGAGCCUGACUUCUUCCUAGGCUACUUAACAGACAAAAGCAGGGGCUCCAGGGGCUGGUCCUGCAUCUCUUUAUUAAAAAAGAAAAGCAAUACCCAAAGGAAAGCAUUUC
rnacentral:lncRNA from 1 species